rnacentral:rRNA from 1 species
CGCAAGGUGAGUGGCAGACGGGUGAGUAACGCGUGGGAACCUUCCCUGUGGUACGGAAUAACUUCGGGAAACCGAAGCUAAUACCGUAUAUCUCCUCCGGGAGAAAGAUUUAUCGCCAUAGGAUGGGCCCGCGUUGGAUUAGCUAGUUGGUAGGGUAAUGGCCUACCAAGGCAACGAUCCAUAGCUGGUCUGAGAGGAUGAUCAGCCACACUGGGACUGAGACACGGCCCAGACUCCUACGGGAGGCAGCAGUGGGGAAUAUUGGACAAUGGGCGCAAGCCUGAUCCAGCCAUGCCGCGUGAGUGAAGAAGGCCUUAGGG